ACAGCGCGAGGGCUGGCUUGACUGUUGUUUUCGAAGUGGAGGCUGGCUUGACUUCAGUGAGGACACGUAGUCCGUUAAAAUGUAUUUUCUAAGUAUUUCUUCAUCGCCUUCAUGUUAAAAGUCAUGUCUGCCCCGCUGCUGUCAUGGUAACGUUACGAUUCACCGUCACCCUCAUCUAAAGUUCGGCUGUUUCAUAUUUAUUUAUUUAUUUAACUCUGAUUACAGACAAUCUGACUGUCUGCGCAGUCUGUGAGUUGUUUUCUUUGCAUCUGAUUAUCACACUGCAUAUUAUUCAAUACUGAAAUAAAUCCAUGUCAGAAACAUUUAAAGUUUGAAGUAGAUUAAUGUCUGUUAUUGUCUUGGAGAGUCUCCAUCCAGCUGGAUCUGUGUCACAGGUGAGGAGCUAACAUUUGAUUUGAGGACUCACUUCAUCCAGAGGUUCACCUGACCAGGUGGAUUCUGUCUACAGGUAAACCUACAAGCCCCCACCUCAGUCCCCCUCCAGCUUGUGUUCAGACUGAUCCGCCACCUGGUGGUCUUCUGUCCCUGCUGCAUCUCCACUGUACUCAUGGUGUCUUCAUAUCGACGCAGGGCCGCAGGAAAUGACCUGAGAAGGGAUUGACAACAUUGACGAUGUCAUCACUGCUGUCUCCAGAGAAUUUCACGUCUGAGCUGAUCCAAGGGCGCCCUGACCAGAGACGUCUCGUUGUCAGGCCAACAGCAGGAUGAUGUUCAACUACUGAAUCCCUCUGAACCCUGAACACAACAGGGAGUGGUGAUGCCGCAGUGGUUAAGAUAUGUGCCUUUGGUGUGAGAGACCUGGUUUCAAUUCCUACUGCAACACUUCACCAUUGUGCCCCAGAUGCUUAACUCCUUGUUUCUCCUUUUUGACAUAUAUAGCAAUUGGAAGUUACUUUGGAUAAAAGCAUCAGCUAAAUCAAAUUCUUUGGAGAGAAAACCACAACACUGCCGGCCACUCGCAGAGGAAGGAGGAGGCUGUUACAUGAACAUGAAGUGAUCAGAGCGCAGAUCUCAUUUCACCCAGUGUCAGGAUGGAGGGAACUAUUCUUCUGUGGCUGCUCUUUCUGACGUCACUGCUGAGCUGCACAACAAACCAGGCUCUUGCAGCCUCUCUGACUGUGAGUCCCAGCAGCUCUCAGCUGUUUGAAGAUAAAUCUGUCUCUCUGAGAUGUGAUGAGGACGAUAGCUCUGCUGGAUGGACGCUGAGGAGGAACACAACCAGACGACAGAUGACUCAGUGUGGAGCUGGCUGGGGAAGAUCAGCUGGUUCUUCCUGUAGCAUCACUCUGACAGUCACAUGGGACAGUGGAGUUUACUGGUGUGAGUCCAGAGAGGGAGCAACCAGUAACACCAUCAACAUCACUGUCACUGGUGGACCAGUGAUCCUGCAGAGUCCUGUCCUCCCUGUGAUGGAGGGACAGGAUGUCACUCUG